UACGUAGGGUGCGAGCGUUAUCCGGAAUUAUUGGGCGUAAAGCGCACGUAGGCGGCUUUGUAAGUUAGAGGUGAAAGCCCAGGGCUUAACCCUGGAAUUGCCUUUAAGACUGCAUCGCUAGAAUCGUGGAGAGGUGAGUGGAAUUCCGAGUGUAGAGGUGAAAUUCGUAGAUAUUCGGAAGAACACCAGUGGCGAAGGCGACUCACUGGACACGUAUUGACGCUGAGGUGCGAAAGCGUGGGGAGCAAACAGG
rnacentral:rRNA from 1 species